rnacentral:rRNA from 1 species
GAUGAACGCUGGCGGCGUGCCUAAUACAUGCAAGUCGAGCGAACGGACGAGAAGCUUGCUUCUCUGAUGUUAGCGGCGGACGGGUGAGUAACACGUGGAUAACCUACCUAUAAGACUGGGAUAACUUCGGGAAACCGGAGCUAAUACCGGAUGAUAUUUUGAACCGCAUGGUUCAAAAGUGAAAGACGGUCUUGCUGUCACUUAUAGAUGGAUCCGCGCUGCAUUAGCUAGUUGGUAAGGUAACGGCUUACCAAGGCAACGAUGCAUAGCCGACCUGAGAGGGCGGUCGGCCACACUGUAACUGAGACACGGUCCAGACUCCUACGGGAGGCAGCAGUAGGGAAUCUUGCGGAAUGGGCGAAAGCCUGACGGAGCAACGCCGCGUGAGUGAUGAAGGUCUUCGGAUCGUAAAACUCUGUUAUGAGGGAAGAACAUAUGUGUAAGUAACUGUGCACAUCUUGACGGUACCUAAUCAGAAAGCCACGGCUAACUACGUG